UAAACCCGAUGAACCUGAAUAUCUAAUAUGAAAAAUUCAUCAUUAAUAUUAUAUAAAAGAUUUUUCUUAUAUAAAAAUAAUGUGCAAUUUUUUCAUAUAUUGACAUUGUAAUCUGUUAAUAUUAAUAUAAAAAAAUUUAUCAUAAGUAUUACAUAUGAAUUGUUUAUAUUUUAAUAUAAAAAAUUUAUUUUUUAUAUUAGUAUAAAAUUCAUUAUAAAAAUGUAAUAUGGAUAAAUUAUUAACAGAUUUAAAAAAAAAUAUUAACGCUUUACAAUCAAAUUUUUGAUUGUUAUAAUAAUAAUAUAAAUAUAUAUUUAUAAUUAUUUAUUAUAUGCGUUUAUAUGAUUAACAAUGCUAUAGAUUUAGGAUACCUUCGGGACCCGUCUUGAAACACGGACCAAGGAGUCUAACAUGUGCGCAAGUCAUUGGGUAUAUUAAAAAACCUAAAGGCAUAAAUAACUUAACUUUUAUAUAUAUAUUUAUAUAUAUAUAAUAAUAGGAUUAUAUAUAUAAAAAAUUAGUUUUUUUUAUUAUAUAUUCCAUCCUGGGGCGUUCUAUAUAGUUAUGUAUAUUAAUAAUAUAAAUAUUUUUUUUAAAAAUUUUAUUUUAUUUGCAUAUACCUCUAACUGGAGCGUACCUUGAGCAUAUAUGUUGUGACCCGAAAGAUGGUGAACUAUACUUGAUCAGGUUGAAGUCAGGGGAAACCCUGAUGGAGGACCGAAGCAGUUCUGACGUGCAAAUCGAUUGUCAGAAUUGAGUAUAGGGGCGAAAGACCGAUCGAACUAUCUAGUAGCUGGUUCCCUCCGAAGUUUCCCUCAGGAUAGCUGGAGCAAUGAAAUAUUAAUAAAAAUAAUCUUAUCUGGUAAAGCGAAUGAUUAGAGGCCUUAGGGCCGAAACGACCUUAACCUAUUCUCAAACUUUAAAUGGGUAAGAACCUUACCUUUCUUGAUAAAUGAAGGUACAGGUUAUGAUAUAUUGUGCCUAGUGGGCCACUUUUGGUAAGCAGAACUGGCGCUGUGGGAUGAACCAAACGUGAUGUUAAGGCGCCAAAAUUAACAACUCAUACUGAUACCAUGAAAGGCGUUGGUUGCUUAAAACAGCAGGACGGUGGAAAUGGAAGUCGUUAUCCGCUAAGGAGUGUGUAACAACUCACCUGCCGAAGCAACUAGCCCUUAAAAUGGAUGGCGCUCAAGUUGUAUGCCUAUACAUCACCAUUAAAAUAUAUGAUAUAUUAUAUAUAUUCUAUAUAAUAAAUUUUGAAAUUUUAAUGAGUAGGAGGGUACAAUGAUGUGCGUUGAAGUGUUUAUCGUAAGAUUGCAUUGAGCCAUCAUUGGUACAGAUCUUGGUGGUAGUAGCAAAUAAUCGAAUGAGACCUUGGAGGACUGAAGUGGAGAAGGGUUUCGUGUGAACAGUGGUUGAUCACGAGUUAGUCGGUCCUAAGUUCAAGGCGAAAGCUGAAAAAUGAUAAAGUUAAAUAUUAUAUUAAAAAGAUAAAAAUAAUAUAUAUAUUAUAAUAUUAAUUAUAAAAAUUUUUUUUAUUUAUAUAAUACUUAUUAUCAUUGAACGAAAGGGAAUACGGUUCCAAUUCCGUAACCUGUUGAGUAUACGUUUGUUAUUAAAAAUGGGCUAAAUAUUUUAUACAAAAUAUAAUUUAAUUUUUUUUAUACAUUAUUUAUAUAAAAUAUGCUCAUCCUGGCAACAGAAACAACCAUAAAGAAGCCGUCGAGAUAUAUCGAAAGAGUUUUCUUUUCUGUUUUAUAGUUGUACUACCAUGGAAUUCUUUAGAAGAGAGAUAUGGUAGAUGGACUAGAAGAGCAUGGCAUUUACUGCUGUGUCGAUAUUGUCUCCUCGGACCUUGAAAAUUU
rnacentral:rRNA from 1 species